GCUGUAAUGGCAGGUCAGCAUACUGCCGUGAAUACGUUCCCGGGCCCUUGUACACACCGCCCGUCACACCAUGAGAGUUGGGAAUACCCGAAGCCUGUGAGCUAACUUAUAGAGGCAGCAGUCGAAGGUAGAAUCAAUGAUUGGGGUGAAGUCGUAACAAGGUACC
rnacentral:rRNA from 1 species